UACGGAGGGUGCAAGCGUUAUCCGGAAUCAUUGGGUUUAAAGGGUCCGCAGGCGGUCUAAUAAGUCAGUGGUGAAAGCCUACAGCUCAACUGUAGAACUGCCAUUGAUACUGUUAGACUUGAAUUCGGUCGAAGUGGCGAAUGAUGACAUGUAGCGGUGAAAUGCUUAGAUAUGUCACAGAACACCGAUAGCGAAGGCAGCUCACUAGGCCUGGAUUGACGCUCAGGGACGAAAGCGUGGGGAGCAAACAGG
rnacentral:rRNA from 1 species